rnacentral:sRNA from 1 species
GAAUAAAACGUGAAGGAUAACGUUGCGUCAGCAACGGCCCGUAGGGCGAGGCGAAGCCGAGUCAUCCUGCACGACCCACCG